GGGGGUAGAGCUCAGGCAAUGAGCGCUCGCUUCGCAUGCGAGAAGUAAUGGGUUCGAUUCCCCAUACCUCCG
rfam:Angiostrongylus costaricensis strain Costa Rica genome assembly, scaffold: ACOC_contig0003449